rnacentral:lncRNA from 1 species
CAUUUUUCACACAGGGCCCAGCUCCCAGGUCAUGCCUGGGCAGACCCCAGCUUGAUGAAGUCCUGUGGCCUCUCUCUCUGUAUGUACUGGUUUCUUUGUGACCUUCUCCCCCAGGACCUCGAAUGGGAUGCUGGACAUUCCUCCUGAGAAACCUGAGGAGGAUAUUAAAAACACAGCCACAGUUUUCCUACUGCUUGCUGCCAGGCUUCUUAGGGGCCCAGCUGCUGGGGGUUUGUAAGGCACAAAAUGAGGAGGCCACUAUGCCUUCCCUCAAGAGGUUCACAUUGGCAAGUACCAGAGAGCAAAAGACAAUGUUCUAUUAGAUUCUUUCUACUGAUGCCGGAGAAUCCAAUCUGCAAGACAGAAGACCUUAGAAAUGUCCAGCAAAGCAUAUGGAGAAUCCUUGAGCCAAAGUCACCCAUCCAAGGAGCUCAUGUCUCUCUGCCAUGCAUAGUCACUGGCUGGAAUCAGUCUGUGAGAAGCAUGGCUGUGGUGCAGUAAAUGUGAGCAUGGAUUUCAGACUGCAGUAGCAAGACUGUUGUCAACCCCAGUCCUUGCAGUGCAGAAGUGAGAGGUGCAUUGUCAUGGCUGCCACAGCCCUAUAUCCUCAUGACUUUUCUUACCUGGAGAAAUGAAAAAACACCACUUUGGGGUAAAGUGGCACGCCUGAGAUUCCAGCACGAGGAAGUCUAGAUGACAACCCAGCCUUCAGAUUCCCAGUAUGUCUCACAUGGAAAAAGCAAAACUAAAAUCCACCACUUUGAAUGGCAAAAAGCGACCAUGAGUAGAGAGUCCCGUAUCACAGCAAGACCUUCACCUCUGUGAAACUCAGUUUCUAGCUGACACCUGGUCCAGUCUGCAGAACACCAUGGUUCCAUAGGUUAAGAGACUGCCCUCACUGCCCAGAGAAUUUCAUAUUUGGAAGGAACAUUUUAAAUGCAGACGUGGUCACUCCACUAUGUUCUGAGAUGCUUCAAAUCACAGUUUGAGGGUUUCUGACUCAUGCAACCAAUGGUACACAUUGAUUAUAAUUCCAUGGUUGGAGCUGCUAUCAGAGUCUGGCCUGAUGUCAGUUGUUAAAGCCAAGAGUCAAGAACUCAAGAGAGAGAGGAGAAGGAGGUCAGUCGGUCAUGGUAAACUUGCUUUGACAAUGCCAGAGCAGAUCCAGCCCCUUCUUGAAGCUGGGGAGCUCCUAUGAUGAAAAGAGACAGCUGGGGGAUGUGGCCUCUCCCUGUGAGGAAUGAUGUGGGGGCAGUAACUGCUGGGAGCUUCAUUCAGCCUCACACAGGGCAUCUGAUCCAUUUUGUCUUGCUCGACUUGGCUGAUAAUUUCAUCUUUCAGCCAGGAGCAGAAGAGACUUGGGGAACUUCUGUUCUGGACCUAAUUCUGAUCAACUAGGAAAAAUUGCUUGGCAAAAUGGAUGUGACAGGAACCUCAAGAGAGAAGAACAACAUCAUUCUGGGGUUUGUGAAAGCUGAAAGGAUGGGAGGCUGGGCAGUUAGAAUUCUAAGGCAGUGAUGUUUAUACACUUAUUCAGCAAGUUCUUAUUCAGCACAGGCUCUGGGCCAGGCAGCGUCCUUAAUGCUGGUACUACGACAUGAAUAAAGCAAAAUCCCUACCCUCAGGAGGCUUCUAUUUGAUGGUAAGCAAACAAAGAACAAAACCAUUUCAGAUAGUUUUUAAAUUCUAUGCAAACAAUGAAGCAGGGUAAUGGGACAGUGAAUGGGAAUUGGUUGAGUCUAGAUCAGGUGGUUUGGAAGUCCUCCCUGGUGUGGGAUAUUUAGGCUGAAACCCAGGUGACGAGAAAGAACCAGUUAUACAAACAGUAAGUUAUGGAAGAAUCAGCAAAUGCAAAAAUCAGCUGGGGAGAUCUGUCAUGGUGUGAUCAAAGAUCGAAAGCAGCAGAAGCUUUUCCUAAGAGUGAUGGUGGCUCUGAGAGAUUUGCAGAGGAGUGUUUCCAUUACAAUACUAUUGCAUUUGAACUUGGACCAUCAACUUGGUGAUCUUGGGGAAUAUUCCAGUAUAGAGGAUGAAACAGAUUGUUCAUAUGCACUUAGACCAAAAUUGAUGGUCAUUAGCGUCCAGCUUAUCACCACAAACAGAAUUAGACCCUCUCCACAUUUUUUAGAGGGUCAGGUUUAAUAGACUAAUAGAGCAGCGGGAGGCAGACACAGUGUACUGUGAUUUCAGCAGACCAUUCGAUGAGGUACCUCAUGUUUUUAUGGACAAAUUAGAAAAAUAAUGGUGGCAUUCUGGUUUAGCCAGCUAAAUGGUUCCAAAGGAAAAACAAAACAAAACAAAACAAAAAACAGGGUCUUGGAGAAGAGGGUCUAAACUUGAUAUGUGUUUCUAGAAGAUAAAACCAGGACCAAAGGCUGGAAAUUAUGGGAAAGCAGAUUUUAACUCAGUAUAAGGCUGACCUUUCUAAGAAUAAGAGAUGUCCUGAAGCUGCUUUGGAAUUAGGACGAAGAUGAGUAAAAUUGAUGCAGCAGAUGGUGAAUGUUUGGGGGACUGGUCUCAUCCACCAUGAUAAUCUAGGAUUAUAGAUUUAGGAGAAAUAACUGAACAAUUGUUUACGUGCCAUUUUCUCUCUGUAGUUUAAUAAUGAUUUCUCUCUAUAAUAAAGGCUGUGCCAAUCACCCAGGUGAGAAACCUCAGCCUCUUCACUUACUCCUCCCUCUCCUCUGGCCCUGACAUUCCAUCCCUUUGGACUCCUUCUCCUCAUUCCCACAACCUUUGCCCUGGUGCAGACUCCCACAGUCUCUGAACUAUUGGGGUGGCCUCCCGAUUGCCCUCCAGCUUCUGCUCUUUUUUCUCACUGCUUGUGUGUGGCCUGAAUAGCACUUUAAAAAACUGAUAUCACAUCAAACCCCUCUAGUAAAACCUCUACUAGUUCUUCUUUUCCCCCAAAAAGUACUACACAAUCUUUGGAAUGUUUCCAAGGCUCUGACCUCGUUUAAUGCACAUCUGCCCUGCUCCACCCAUGCUGUGAAAGUCCAGCCUCUCAGGCUCUCUCCAAUAUCACCUCCUCUAAGAAACCUCCUGUUUCCCUAAUCAAGGGUAAUUCCACUUUCACACUUAUUCCCACACAAUAUUCACCUUAAUUAAAC